rnacentral:tRNA from 1 species
GGUGGCUCAGUGGUAGAGUGCUUGCCUUUUAUGUAUGAGGUCCUGGGUUCGAUUCCUUAGUACCA